rnacentral:sRNA from 1 species
UUGAAGAAGAAGAAGAAGAUGAAC